rnacentral:rRNA from 1 species
GACGAACGCUGGCGGCAUGCCUAAUACAUGCAAGUCGAACGCUGAAGCACUCUGCUUGCAGAGUGCGGAUGAGUGGCGAACGGGUGAGUAACACGUGGGAAAUCUGCCUAUAAGAGGGGGAUAACAUUCGGAAACGGAUGCUAAUACCGCAUAUAUUCUUGGACCGCCUGGUCCUUGAAAGAAAGACGGCUUUGCUGUCGCUUAUAGAUGAUCCCGCGGCGUAUUAGUUAGUUGGUGGGGUAAAGGCCUACCAAGACAAUGAUACGUAGCCGACCUGAGAGGGUGAUCGGCCACACUGGGACUGAGACACGGCCCAGACUCCUACGGGAGGCAGCAGUAGGGAAUCUUCCACAAUGGGCGAAAGCCUGAUGGAGCAAUGCCGCGUGAAUGAAGAAGGUCUUCGGAUCGUAAAGUUCUGUUAUUAGAGAAGAACAAGUCAAGGAGUAACUGUCUUGACUUUGACGGUACCUAGCCAGAAAGUCACGGCUAACUACGUG